ACACUUGGCAGUUACACACACAAUGAGCAAAAUUCUCUGUGCUUCCGAGAAGACAGCCCCUCAGGAUUUGAAAGCUUGAAUGCCGCUGAGGGCACCUCCCACUCCAGAGUAAUGGCUUUCUUCUCCAACUGAAGAUUAACUGACAGCCAAGCAGACCACUCCCGGAGGCAGCAAGCAACUUCGAGCUCCCAGUUAUUCAGCUGUCCUCGCUCAUCACCCAAGCCGAGGACCUGAGCAUCCAGUCUGCAUUCUCACUGCAGCAGAGCCCGGCCAAUCACCUCUGCCGACACUACCAAGUUCAUUAUCCCUACCAGCACCAGCCCUCCAAUCACAGGCAGCUGAUUGCCUGCAUGAAGCCCGGCAAUUCUGCAGGGAGGUGCGGACUCAAGCUCCAGAUGAGGCUCAGCUUACAGAAUCCACUUUGAGCUGGCUCCUUAGCAAAAGUAACUCCCUGCCCUCUACCCGGGUUGCUUCCAGAAGGCAUUCACCAUCAAGUGCAACACCAUCAAGAGUCCUUGGCAGCAUGUCCUAAGAGCAUUCUAGAAACAUUUUUCCUUGUUUCAAGAUCCAGUUUUCUCCAGCAGAGCACAUGCCACAUCACAGCAG
rnacentral:lncRNA from 1 species